UACGUAGGGGGCAAGCGUUGUCCGGAUUUAUUGGGCGUAAAGAGCGUGUAGGCGGCCAUGCAGGUCCGUUGUGAAAACUCGAGGCUCAACCUCGAGACGUCGAUGGAAACCGCAUGGCUAGAGUCCGGAAGAGGAGAGUGGAAUUCCUGGUGUAGCGGUGAAAUGCGCAGAUAUCGGGAGGAACACCAGCGGCGAAGGCGGCACUCUGGGCUGGAACUGACGCUGAGGAGCGAAAGCGUGGGUAGCAAACAGG
rnacentral:rRNA from 1 species